rnacentral:rRNA from 1 species
UACGAAGGGGGCUAGCGUUGCUCGGAAUCACUGGGCGUAAAGGGUGCGUAGGCGGGUCUUUAAGGCAGGGGUGAAAUCCUGGAGCUCAACUCCAGAACUGCCUUUGAUACUGAGGAUCUUGAGUACGGGAGAGGUGAGUGGAACUGCGAGUGUAGAGGUGAAAUUCGUAGAUAUUCGCAAGAACCCCAGUGGCGAAGGCGGCUCACUGGCCCGUUACUGACGCUGAGGCACGAAAGCGUGGGGAGCAAACAGG